AAUUUCACUGCUGAUACCGCCAUUUUGUCGCUAUCAUACAUUGCUGUUAUACUGCCAGUUUUCUCCACCUGUUUGCCUCACAGUUUGCUUAUUUCCAGUUGAUAUCACCAUGACGUCGUACACUCAAGCUCUUGACCUGGUGAUAAGGUUCCCUUUGAACUUCGACAUCUGGGCCCCUCCUCGCCAAAUGCAUCAGAGCAGCCAUGGUCGAAGAGAACCUCUCCAGCUGACGUGUAACGCGCCUGUUAUUUAGAUGUAACAGUGGAAAUAUUGUAAUAAAAUUAUACUGUGAAA
rnacentral:lncRNA from 1 species